rnacentral:rRNA from 1 species
ACUGAAUAGAUACCCAGGUAGUCCAUGCUGUAAACGAUGAGAACUAGAUGUUAGGGGGCAUGACCUCUUAGUAUCGAAGCUAACGCGAUAAGUUCUCCGCCUGGGGAGUACGGCCGCAAGGUUAAAACUCAAAGAAAUUGACGGGGGCCCGCACAAGCGGUGGAGCAUGUGGUUUAAUUCGAUGCAACGCGAAGAACCUUACCUACCUUUGAAUCCACGGAACCUAGCAGAGAUGUUGGGGUGCCUUCGGGAACCGUGAGACAGGUGCUGCAUGGCUGUCGUCAGCUCGUGUCGUGAGAUGUUGGGUUAAGUCCCGUAACGAGCGCAACCCUUGUCCUUAGUUGCCAUCAGGUUAUGCUGGGCACUUUAAGGAGACUGCCGGUGAUAAACCGGAGGAAGGUGGGGAUGACGUCAAGUCCUCAUGGCCCUUACAGGUAGGGCUACACACGUGCUACAAUGGGCAGUACAGAGGGAAGCCAACCCGCGAGGGGUAGCGAAUCUCAUAAAGCUGUUCGUAGUCCGGAUUGGAGUCUGCAACUC